rnacentral:rRNA from 1 species
GAUGAACGCUGGCGGCGUGCCUAAUACAUGCAAGUCGAGCGAACAGACGAGGAGCUUGCUCCUCUGACGUUAGCGGCGGACGGGUGAGUAACACGUGGAUAACCUACCUAUAAGACUGGGAUAACUUCGGGAAACCGGAGCUAAUACCGGAUAAUAUAUUGAACCGCAUGGUUCAAUAGUGAAAGACGGUUUUGCUGUCACUUUUAGAUGGAUCCGCGCCGCAUUAGCUAGUUGGUAAGGUAACGGCUUACCAAGGCAACGAUGCGUAGCCGACCUGAGAGGGUGAUCGGCCACACUGGAACUGAGACACGGUCCAGACUCCUACGGGAGGCAGCAGUAGGGAAUCUUCCGCAAGGGGCGAAAGCCUGACGGAGCAACGCCGCGUGAGUGAUGAAGGUCUUCGGAUCGUAAAACUCUGUUAUUAGGGAAGAACAAAUGUGUAAGUAACUAUGCACGUCUUGACGGUACCUAAUCAGAAAGCCACGGCUAACUACG